rnacentral:rRNA from 1 species
UACGAGAGGCGCAAACGUUAUUCGGAAUUACUGGGCUUAAAGAGUUCGUAGGCGGCGCGGAAAGUAGGGUGUGAAAGCCCUCGGCUCAACCGAGGAAUUGCGCUCUAAACUACCGUGCUUGAGGAACCUAGAGGUGAGCAGAACUGAUGGUGGAGCGGUGAAAUGCGUUGAUAUCAUCAGGAAUACCGGAGGCGAAGGCGGCUCACUGGGGGUUUUCUGACGCUGAGGAACGAAAGCCAGGGGAGCGAACGGG